AUUGAACGCUGGCGGCAUGCUUUACACAUGCAAGUUGAACGGUAACAGGUUAAGCUGACGAGUGGCGAACGGGUGAGUAAUGCAUCGGAACGUGCCCGAUCGUGGGGGAUAACGCAGCGAAAGCUGCGCUAAUACCGCAUACGAUCUGAGGAUGAAAGCGGGGGACCGUAAGGCCUCGCGCGAUCGGAGCGGCCGAUGUCAGAUUAGGUAGUUGGUGGGGUAAAGGCUCACCAAGCCAACGAUCUGUAGCUGGUCUGAGAGGACGACCAGCCACACUGGGACUGAGACACAGCCCAGACUCCUACGGGAGGCAGCAGUGGGGAAUUUUGGACAAUGGGCGAAAGCCUGAUCCAGCAAUGCCGCGUGCAGGAAGAAGGCCUUCGGGUUGUAAACUGCUUUUGUACGGAGCGAAAAGGCCCUCUCUAAUACAGGGGGUUUAUGACGGUACCGUAAGAAUAAGCACCGGCUAACUACGUGCCAGCCGCCGCAGUAA
rnacentral:rRNA from 1 species